rnacentral:rRNA from 1 species
AGAUUGAACGCUGGCGGCAGGCCUAACACAUGCAAGUCGAGCGGCAGCACGGGUACUUGUACCUGGUGGCGAGCGGCGGACGGGUGAGUAAUGCCUAGGAAUCUGCCUGGUAGUGGGGGAUAACGCUCGGAAACGGACGCUAAUACCGCAUACGUCCUACGGGAGAAAGCAGGGGACCUUCGGGCCUUGCGCUAUCAGAUGAGCCUAGGUCGGAUUAGCUAGUUGGUGAGGUAAUGGCUCACCAAGGCGACGAUCCGUAACUGGUCUGAGAGGAUGAUCAGUCACACUGGAACUGAGACACGGUCCAGACUCCUACGGGAGGCAGCAGUGGGGAAUAUUGGACAAUGGGCGAAAGCCUGAUCCAGCCAUGCCGCGUGUGUGAAGAAGGUCUUCGGAUUGUAAAGCACUUUAAGUUGGAGAAGGCAGUUACCUAAUACGUAUCUGUUUUGACGUUACGACAGAAUAAGCACCGGCUAACUCUGUG